GUCUAGUUGACGAGUUUCAAAUGGGACGAAACACGCGUCCUGGAU
rnacentral:hammerhead_ribozyme from 1 species